GUAACAUAUCAAGAUGUGUUUUACACAUUACAAUUCUAUCAUCCAAACAUGCUGAAGCAUCUCUUUUGUUCCAGUUGGUGAAGGUCAGACUGCUCAAUGUCAGCCAGACAGUCCCCAGUGAGAUGGUGUGAUGUUGAUAUUAAUGGAGCUUAUUCCUCGUGGCUGUUUGGAGUUAUUCCUCAGGGUUUGUCUUUUCAGUUGGAGCAUCUUUUAUGGUAAGUCUGUUCUACGUUUUGUAUUAUCAUUUCUCAACUGCUUGGGAAAAUUGUCUUUAAAUCUUUUUUUACCACAUAGGCCUACAUAACUAAAUUACUCUAAAACUGUAUUUUUGUUGUUUCUUUAGCACUACAAAGCUUAUUGAAAUAAUCAGAGCUUGAUGA
rnacentral:lncRNA from 1 species